rnacentral:rRNA from 1 species
UGACGAGCGGCGGACGGGUGAGUAAUGUCUGGGAAACUGCCUGAUGGAGGGGGAUAACUACUGGAAACGGUAGCUAAUACCGCAUAACCUCGCAAGAGCAAAGAGGGGGACCUUCGGGCCUCUCGCCAUCAGAUGUGCCCAGAUGGGAUUAGCUAGUAGGUGAGGUAAUGGCUCACCUAGGCGACGAUCCCUAGCUGGUCUGAGAGGAUGACCAGCCACACUGGAACUGAGACACGGUCCAGACUCCUACGGGAGGCAGCAGUGGGGAAUAUUGCACAAUGGGCGCAAGCCUGAUGCAGCCAUGCCGCGUGUGUGAAGAAGGCCUUCGGGUUGUAAAGCACUUUCAGCGAGGAGGAAGGCGGUAAGGUUAAUAACCUUAUCGAUUGACGUUACUCGCAGAAGAAGCACCGGCUAACUCCGUGCCAGCAGCCGCGGUAAUACGGAGGGUGCAAGCGUUAAUCGGAAUGACUGGGCGUAAAGCGCACGCAGGCGGUCUGUUAAGUUGGAUGUGAAAUCCCCGGGCUUAACCUGGGAACUGCAUUCAAAACUGACAGGCUAGAGUCUUGUAGAGGGGGGUAGAAUUCCAGGUGUAGCGGUGAAAUGCGUAGAGAUCUGGAGGAAUACCGGUGGCGAAGGCGGCCCCCUGGACAAAGACUGACGCUCAGGUGCGAAAGCGUGGGGAGCAAACAGGAUUAGAUACCCUGGUAGUCCACGCUGUAAACGAUGUCGAUUUGGAGGUUGUGCCCUUGAGGCGUGGCUUCCGGAGCUAACGCGUUAAAUCGACCGCCUGGGGAGUACGGCCGCAAGGUUAAAACUCAAAUGAAUUGACGGGGGCCCGCACAAGCGGUGGAGCAUGUGGUUUAAUUCGAUGCAACGCGAAGAACCUUACCUACUCUUGACAUCCAGAGAAUUUUCUAGAGAUAGCUGAGUGCCUUCGGGAACUCUGAAACAGGUGCUGCAUGGCUGUCGUCAGCUCGUGUUGUGAAAUGUUGGGUUAAGUCCCGCAACGAGCGCAACCUUUAUCC